rnacentral:rRNA from 1 species
UACGGAGGGAGCUAGCGUUGUUCGGAAUUACUGGGCGUAAAGCGCGCGUAGGCGGCUUUGUAAGUUAGAGGUGAAAGCCCGGGGCUCAACCCCGGAACUGCCUUUAAGACUGCAUCGCUUGAAUCCGGGAGAGGUGAGUGGAAUUCCGAGUGUAGAGGUGAAAUUCGUAGAUAUUCGGAAGAACACCAGUGGCGAAGGCGACUCACUGGACACAUAUUGACGCUGAGGUGCGAAAGCGUGGGGAGCAAACAGG